GGCUCUGUAGCUCAGUCGUUAAGAGCGGUCGCACGGUUUGCGAGAGUCCCGGGUUCGAGUCCCGGUCAAGCCU
rfam:Lingula anatina scaffold1201, whole genome shotgun sequence.